rnacentral:rRNA from 1 species
GAGGGGCAGCAUGAAUUUAGCUUGCUAAGUUUGAUGGCGACCGGCGCACGGGUGAGUAACACGUAUCCAACCUGCCGAUGACUCGGGGAUAGCCUUUCGAAAGAAAGAUUAAUACCCGAUGGCAUAGUUCUUCCGCAUGGUAGAACUAUUAAAGAAUUUCGGUCAUCGAUGGGGAUGCGUUCCAUUAGCUUGUUGGCGGGGUAACGGCCCACCAAGGCAUCGAUGGAUAGGGGUUCUGAGAGGAAGGUCCCCCACAUUGGAACUGAGACACGGUCCAAACUCCUACGGGAGGCAGCAGUGAGGAAUAUUGGUCAAUGGGCGCUAGCCUGAACCAGCCAAGUAGCGUGAAGGAUGACUGCCCUAUGGGUUGUAAACUUCUUUUAUAUGGGAAUAAAGUGC